GGAUGAAGACUCCAAAGCCAGGCAUUCCUAAACUGAUGAUCAAAGAAGUGCUUUGCAUCGGGCUUGAGAAAACAUCGUACUGUUCUACUUACUGUAAGAACAGAAAGUCUUACUGUCUAAGAACCUGAAUAGAAGGAGAUGCCUUCAGUAUCGGGUGUUAUUUUUGAGAAGCUGGUCAAGGAAGGGGAGAAGAUGGUUGAUUAAGGGGUGAUGGUGACAAUUAUUUUGUAACUGGUAGAAGGCCAGAUGUUUAUGUAAAAGUUGAGAGUUUUGAUGGAGUAUCAUGAGCAUGUUUCUGAGCUUAAUGUCAAAUAUACAGAGAUUCCCUAAAAUCACUGCUUAAGUUACAUGGGUCUUGCGGUGUUUGGAAAGAGCAAACUUUGUAAGUAUAAUUGUAAAAAUAAUAUCAAACAGAAAAAGAGAAGGGAAAACUUAACAACUCUCUCAAAUCGCUGUUAUUCUUGAAUCAUCUAAAAGUGGUACACGUGACUGGCACCAAUAUCCAUCGAAGAGUAAAUCACUGCACAGGUGAGGAAGGAGACCCCGGCAUCUGGGAUCGACUUCCGCUUUGACUGCCACACUGCAUUUCAAUAGAAGAAAAGGCUGACUGGUGCCUCGGAUUCACCUUCCUGUCGGUGGUGGGCUUGGUCUGGGGGAAACUCUCCCGAAGACACUGUUUUUACUUAAAACAAGAUCAAACCCGAAACCUUUUCACAUGUGAGUCCUAAAACUAUAAACCGAAACCCUUUCACGUGUGAUUCCUGAAGCUGUAAACCGAAGCCGUUUUCAUAUGUGAUUUCUAAGGCUAAACCCAGGAUUCUUCCACGUGUAAUAUCUAAAGUAUAAGCCUAUAUAAAGGCAGAACCUUCCUUUGUUAGAUGAGCUGAAUUUGGACAAAUUAUUUCUCAGCUCCCAGCUGUAAUAAAGACUUCUUCCUUCUCCAUUCGGUGUUCGGGAGCUCUGUUUCUCGCUGCCGCUCCUGCUACACGAGGAGACUUGAUCUUCCUUUCAUUGUAGGAUCUGGAGGAAAAAAGCUAUGAAAAGCAAAAGGUGGCAGAGAAUGCUGUUGUGGAAAUUACCCGACAUCACUGGAGAUAGAGAAUUUGCCCUGGCAAAAAGCACUCCUUUGGGAGAAGCAUGUGCACAUUCCAUUAGCAUGAAGCACCUGGUCAGCCAUAUGAAAAAGUCUGGAUUUUGUUAUAAAUGUGAAAUUUAUCUUAAAUGGAAGAUUUGAAGCAAGGGAGAAAUAUACCCUCAUGUAUCUUUAAAAAUCACUCUGGCAGCUGUGUGUGGGACAAACUCUAGGAGGACAAGAGGAGAUGUGGAAGGGAGAGGCAGCUAAGAUUCUAUCCCAGGAGGGCAAAGAUGUCGAAGCCCGGACUCAGAUGGUAAUGGCGGAGGUGUUAGAAACGGCUGGAUUCCACAUUUAUUUUGGAGGGUGAGCCCAUGGAAUUUGCUUAUUGCUGGGGUGUUCCAUAAAUAAGAGAAAAAGAGGGCUCGGCGAUGAUUCCUGGGUUUUUGACUUGGGCAACUAGAAGGAUAAGUCUCUGUUAACUGAUAUGGGGAAGUCUGAGGCAGAAGACGCUGUGUGUGCCAGGAGUGGUGUGUCUGUAUAUCAGUAAUUCUGCUUUUGACAUGUUGACUUGGAGAUGCUAAUGCACUCCAACUAAAAAGUAAGGAGGGAAGUGGACAUUCAACACAUGAUGCCAAGGGAGGCUUAAGAAGGGGCAAGAGGCCAAACCUGGGUGAGAAGAACAUAGGUAAAAAUAAAAGAUACGUGGAGGGAGAAAGCUAGGGAAACUGGGACUUACAAUAGUAGCAAUGUUGGCCAUUAACUGAGAAGUGUGGGGUUUUUUUGUUUUUGAGACAGUCUUGCUGUAUUGCCCAGGGUGGAGUGUAGUGGCAUAACUCAGCUCACUACAACCUCUGCCUCCUAGUUUCAAGCUAUUCUCAUGCCACAGCCUCCUUAGCAGCUGGGGUUACAGGUGCCUGCCAAUUUUUGUAUUUUACCUGGCUAUUUUUUGUAUUUUAAAUAGAGAUGGGGUUUCACCAUGUUGGCCAGGCUGGUCUCAUACUCCUGACCUUAGGUGAUCUGCCAGCCUCUGCCUCCCAAACUGCUGGGAUUACAGGCUUAAGCCACUAUGCCAAGUCUCAGAAAUAUAAUUAAAGUACAGGGAAAAUUAAAAGGGAGAAGAAAGUUCACAGAGAGAUAUCGCAGCAAAUGAUAAAUACAAAAGCCUGCCUUGUUUCCCAGACUCCCUGUGACUUAAGUGCUCUGUAUUUUACCUCCUAGUGGACCUCUCUUUUUCCUUUGUAAUGGUGUUCCAUGCAGCACAUGCUGCACACCAAUUCCAGAGCUUCCCUGCUCCUUGAGCCUAGGAAUAACUAUGCGUCUAUCUCUUCUUUAUUUGCUCCUCACGGGAGUAGCAACUGAUCACAUGAUUGGAAUAAGUAACCUGCUGUCAUUUUUGGUACCAGUUUUCCAUUUCUUCCUUAAGUAUAAAACGGACCCUCAGAGAGAAACUAACUGCCUAAAGCUACAGGUUCAGAGUAGAGCUCAGCUUUGCUUUUCCCUUUGCAGCUGUGCUCUGAGAGCUUUGAGGCAAUCUCACUGCAAUUUGACAUCAGUGACCGAGUAGGGAUGCUCAGGGAAUCUUUUGAGGCAUGAAGGAAACCUCACUUUCAGUUAAUGCUUAUAUGUGGCUGCUGAAGUUGUCUAACGUCCCUGGGGACAAAGUGUUUGCCCUAAAAAGGAACAUUACCUUGGCACAAAGCAUCUUGUUGGCUGGAAUUUAUUAUAAAUAUGACAGGAACACUUUUGGGCAAGUAAAUGGUGGUUGUCAAACCCAUAAAGAAGAAAAGGCCUCUCACAUGGCUGGGAGAGGUGGGAACAGAUGAAGCACUAAGCUGAGGUCUGGUGAAGUUAGGGAACAAGCCCAGUGUUUUUGGAGAGCGAUUCCUUCUUGAACCCCUAAAAGAUGCACCUGAAGCUUAACAGUAGGCUGAUUUCUGUAUUUAGAGUUGCAAACAACAUGUUCCUGGAAUACAGAGGAAGGCACCACUACUUCUAUCCUGAGAGUAUAUCACAAAGAAUGAGAUUUAAAUUUGGAUUUGAUGGAUGAGAGAUGAGUAGAGUUUGAUAGAAGAGAAGAGGGGAAUUGUCUGGAUGUACAAUGGCAGAAGUGGCAGGAAAGGCUGAAAAGAACUGGCUUCUGGGGAUGGGUUAGAGAUAAGGGCCUGGGCACCACAUUCUGGAGCUUGCAAUUGGGUAUGUAAAAGCUUAGACGGGAUGGUCUUUUCCUCUCCUCCUAUGGGUUCAUAGUGGGCUCACCUCACUCACUCCUGCUAAUAAGCUGCCCCUAUUUGAGAGAGAGCUGGAGUGGGGUCUCUAAGCCUCCAGCAACCGUUUAGGAGCCAGCCUUGAAGCCCUGGCAGCUAACUCUUCAUAUAGACCCCACAGUCCAUCCUAUCUUAGAAAGACAGUGCACUCAUGAGGAGGAUAACAUUCCCCACCCCGGACUCCAGAGGUUCCAAGGAGCCCCUCUCUCUCUCCAAGAAAAGAAAUAUUCAUUGAGCUGUGGGUGAAUGUGAAUGUGGUUUGGGACCAACGUGUGGCUGAGUGGCUUCAUCACUACCUUCAUACAGUUGUUCUAGAAGAUGGAUGGGGGUAGGGUGAUCAAGAUUUAGUAGAACCUCUACUUCCAGUGGGGUGGUGCUUGGUAGUUGACUCAUUUUGGUCCCAUUUGAUAUUUGCAGUCACCCAUUGGGGUAGGUGUGACUGUUGCUCCCAUUUCGCAGAUUACAACAGGAUAGUUUGCCAGAGGCCACAUGACUAGCUGGUGGGAGGGAAAGGGUGUCAAAUAAGAUUUUAACCCUAGAGCCUCACGUUUUAUUAGGAUCUUGCAGAGAGACCUUGGGCAAAUUCCUUUCCCUCUUGUGGUGGUGGGGGGUGGUCUCCAUUCUCUAUUUGUAAAUUAAAGAGGCCUGCCAGUUUGUGAUUCUCUGUACUUUAACGUUCAAACCUACACUUGGAUAGGUUUAUUUGUUUUUGAAAUGGGGAUUCUGGGACCCCAGUAUAUUUAAGUUCAGUAGGUCUGGGGUGAGGCUCAGUAAGCAGCUUUUAACGAAUCCGGGCAACAACAAAACUGCCUGAGAAACUCAGGCAAAGUUUAUGAUGCAUGAAAAUCCUAUUGUGAGCUGGUCAAGACACAGAUCGCUGAGCUUCAUUUGUAGAGAUCCUGUUUUGAUACCAAAGGAUGGACUGUGGCUUGGUAAUUUGUAUUUCUCAUAAGUAAGUCCCAACAGCUGGUCAACCGCCCUGCCUGACGCUCUGUGACCCUUCCCGGGCGUCCGCGGUGCUUCUUUACUUGCAUCUUGUGGGAAUGAGAUCUGCACCGGCAGCCUCCUUUUAGCACCACUCAGGGCAAGCGAGCUGCGCCCUUAAAAACCCCGCUCAGCCCGCGGUUUGCAAGUAUUCAGGGCAGGCGAAGGUGGGGUUGUUCGUUUGGUGUAGUACCGCGCGCUGCCAGCAGAUGGCGACAGAGAACGAGUUUACCGGAAUAGGGAGCGGCAAGGAGGCGGGGAAGAAAGCGGCGGGAGAUUGACAUCCAUUCAGGCCAAUGGUAGCUCAAUCUUCCGUUCCCCGACUCCCAAGCUUCCAAUUCUUUUAGGAGGCUGCGUUUGUGGCGCUAAAUGCAGGGAUGGGCGUGGGAGAUGCCGGGACAUGUGCUAGCUGAAGAUACACCUGUUAGGCCAAGAUUGCCCCCGCUCGUAGUGGCUUAACCUUCUUUGUAAAUUCACCUUCCUCUCAUUUAACUAAGGCUUCCUCACCUGUCUCUAGGCAAACCUACCUCCUGUCAUGCUGGGUUUGGAGUUUUUAAAUGCGUUGCGGGGUAAAGCCAGCGUUGCGCUUUUCGUUCUCUUGGCGGGUAUUUCUGGCGCUGACAGCGGGGAGCUGCCUGGCGGGAGUACCGGUGAAGAGAGAACAGGGUGAGAGAUAACAGGUGUGCAGCGUCCCUCAAUACCAGGCAUCGUGCUUUGGCAUCUACCAUAGGUUUGUCUCAAUCAUCUUUCUACUUAAUUCAUUUUCUGUUUUACAUAUUAGGAAACCUCAACUAAGUUGCCCAAGGACAGUCCUUGGAUAAUUCUAACUCAUAUCAGACGCCAAAGCCUAAGGUCUUUUAUUUUGCAGAGAUUGCUUUGGCAGGAUUUCAACACCUGCAGGUCCUGUGAAUCAGUCCUCCUCACUCACUGAUCCAUCCCCUGUCCACGCAUUCAUUCGCCCAUUCAUUUCUUAGGGCUCAUCUGCAAGGCGUGGGACUGGUUGCCACUAAAACAGAAAAGGGACUCUGCUGUAAAGUAGAAGAGAUUUUUAAAAAAAGAUUUACACAGAAUUCCUGAGCUCUGCAUAGUUUCAAUCUUUCCUCCAAAUAUACUACUGAUACCUAUUUUGUUCCACAUAAUUUGAUGGAUUCUGAAGAUACAGAGAUGGGUGAAAUCUAUCCUUGCCUUUCAGGAGUUCAUUGCCAUAGGCAAGAGUAAUCGCUGAGCUUUAAUCUUACAUACCUAAUUUUUAACAAAUUGAGCAUCAACUAUGUACAUAUAUAUUCUAUUGCAAUUAAUAUAUUAAAUAAUUAAAUAUUAGGCACACUUAACUUCCUAUUUUUAGAUGAAGAUUAAUCCAAAUGGUGGUUCAAGUAUGUCCUUUGUUCACCCUAGUGGACUCUCUUGAGUGAUUUCUGGAGUGCUUCCUCAGACUAGAACCCUACGCCCUUGGUAUGUGCUUGGCUCUCUUCCUUCUUUCUGCAGCUCUCUGUCAAAUGCCAGGCUUUUAGGGAGGCCUGUCCUGACCCCUUCCUGUUUCCUCUCCUUUUUAUCUGCUCCUGUCUCUUUUCCUAUUUAUUUGUUGUUUUUUCUCCCUCCAUCAUCUUCUGUCCCCGUAUCAUGUGUUGUUUUUCAUAUACUACAUCUCGCUUUAUAGGAAAUAUGUUUACUGUUUUUUUUAAUUUUUGGUUUAGUUUCUCUCUCCCUGCCCCAGAAUGUAAGCUUCGAGAGGGGAAGAGAGGAGUUCUUGGCACUCCUCACUGCCUGAGAAACGGUUGGGGAUGGAGGGAGAAAGCUUUGCCCAGUACAUCCUGAAAUUCCCUGGCGGUGGGAGUGGAGGGAAGAUGAGGAAAUGUCCAUUUAUUUUAUGAACUUGAAGUUGGGUUAAACCUUACUUUAUCCUGUGAUUUUGGUUGUUAAUCUCAACCCGAAAUUCUCAUCACUAGUCAUCCACUUCUUACUAGCUUUGUGACCUUGAAUGAAGGUUCAAGGUUACCAUCUUUCUUUGCACCUCAGUUUCCUUAUGUAUGAAAUUUAAAUUUGGACAGCCUAAAAUGUGGGGACAUAAGGCAUCAGUCCCAUAAGGGUAAAGAAAAAUAUUUGUGGAUUUAUAAGACUUCAGAAAUUAUAUUCUUGUGAGGGUUAAAGAAAGAUAUUUGUGGAUUUGGGAGUCUUCAGAUAUUAUAUCAUUAUAUCAGUAGCAUAUUUACAUGCAGAAAAUAUUGGAGAAAGAAUUUUAGCUAAUCAAAUAGGAACAGAGAUCUCAGAUAAAAAGGAGAGGAAACAGUGGUAGCAAAAAACUUCUGGCAAAUUUUACAUAGAGAGUUAAUUCUAAAUGUACAAUGAUAGGCUCUCUGGGAAUGUGCGAUAAAAAUUUUAAAGAAGGAUUCUUUAAAUAGAUGUGACACACUGCAAGGGAACUCCUAUGACAUCUGGAACUAAAACGCCUAGGGACUGGGCUCUGGGGGAUGAGGGGUAGAGGAAUAAAAACAUUUGGUCUUACUUAGCACAAUCAUCUGGAUGUGAGGAGGAAGCAGAAUGGGGAAAUGAAUCUAUUGGAAGAUACCUUAUUGCAGUACAGGAGGAAAUAGAGAAUAGCUGGUACUUUAUUUUAUAUGAUAGUGAAGAAACUUGUGUUCUGUUAUGAGCACUAGAAAUACUAGUGAUUGAAUAAAAAGUUAAUAAGGGAAUAUGAUGAAUGAGUGAGUUAGUAAGAGAACUUAAUGGGUAAGUGAACUAAUAAGAGUCCAUAGUCGAGGCAAUUCCCCCUUUUAAAAAACAUUAUCUUUUGAAUAUACACAGGAUAUACUUUUCAAAAGAAAAAAAUGUAUAUGGGAAAACAUUUUCACUCAUUCUCUAGACACUCAGUACUUUUCCAGAGAUAAUCUAUGACUAUACAAGCAUAAUAUUUCCUUUUCAAUAUAUUUUCCCAGCAACUAAGAAGUUCAGUAUUUGUAAUUGUAAUAAGAAGAGUGCUAAUCUGGCCUGAGAUGAAAAGUUUUACCUUAUAUGUCUCAUAAACAGUUUUUGUAAAUCAAGGAAUAUGCUUAUAAAGAGAUUACCAAGGCCCUACAAAACAUGAGUUUGGGGCCACAGGAAGAUUAAGAUUUAGAAUAAAGUUAGGUGAGAUCUAAGGUCAAAGGAUAGCAGGAGGGUUUGUGUGUGUGCCUGUGUAUAUGUGUGUUGGGUGGGGCAGGUGGGAGCCUUUGGAGAUUGCCUGUAGGCUGCUAGUGAGGUGUCACGUAGGCCUUGGUAGGCCCUUGGGAAGACACACGGUUCUGAAAGCUUGGCACUCCUAUAGGUUUUUAAAUAUUUGUGUUAUCCACAAGGGUGACGCUGGACAUCAUUACUAAAAUUUAAAAAUUUUGCCCCUGGCACACAGGUUACCCUUUUUGUGCUGGUAUGGCAAGGCUUGAUUUGCAAGAUUUUCUUCUGAAUUGUCCCCAAUUCUUCCCUUUAAAAAUAGGAGCUCCUUCAGGGUGAGGAAGGAAGGAGGAAAUCAUCCCUUCUAACCUUCUUUCUCUUCUUCAUUCUGAGGACUGUAGAAAAGCAGGCACACCACGUUUGGUUUAGAAAUCUGUGGGAUUUUAGUGCUGUCCAUUCUCCCGAGUGGAUGCCUUUAGUGAAGGUAAAAAGGAAAGACUGUUUGCUUUGUCAAGGGAAGAUUCAUAUGCAAAUCCCAAGAUUCAGAUGUUAUUUUAGAGGAGUUGGUGUCCAUUGUAAAUUAGAACUGCCCUGGUUCAUUUGCCCAAGGGGCAAGUAACUGAGGCAAAUAUGAGGGAACUGGCAGAAUAGGAGGGGUGGACUCUUCCGGAGAGAAAGAAUAAGGAGAAUUCCGGGUGCAGAGGGGAUCAAGGUGUGGACCAAGCACAUAUCUGUCUUCUUAGCUCCUGUGAAAUGUUGGAAAAGUCUUUAGAACAAACAAUAAAUACGUCAUAGCAGGAAAACAAAGGGCCGUCUUUGGGCCAGAAAUAGAAACCGCUAAAAAAAAAACACGCACCAGCCCUCCCCGGGUCAGUGCGGGAGCCUCUGGCUGCUGCCGGCGCUGGGCCUCCGCUCAGUCCUGACCUGCGGUGGGCGCGAUGGCGGGGGCUGUAUUGAGGGUCAGCCAGCGGCAGCUGAGCCAGCGCGGCAGAUGUUCUAGCCGGUGAGUUGCACCUACACGUACCUGCUGGGUGACAGAGAGUCCCGGGAUGCCGUUCUGAUCGACCCGGUCCUAGAGACAGCGCCUCGGGAUGCCCAGCUGAUCAAGGAACUGGGGCUGCGGCUGCUGUAUGCUGUGAAUACCCACUGCCACGCGGACCACAUUACAGGCUCUGGGCUACUCCAUUCCCUCCUCCCUGGCUGCCAGUCUGUCAUCUCCCGCCUUAGUGGGGCCCAGGCUGACUUGCACAUUGAGGAUGGAGACUCCAUCUGCUUCGGGAGCUUCGCCUUGGAGACCAGGGCCAGUCCUGGCCACACCCCAGGCUGUGUCACCUUCGUCCUGAAUGACCAAAGCAUGGCCUUCACUGGAGAUGCCCUGUUGAUCCGUGGGUGUGGACGGACAGACUUCCAGCAAGGCUGUGCCGAGACCUUGUACCACUCGGUCCAUGAAAAGAUCUUCACACUUCCAGGCAACUGUCUGGUCUACCCUGCUCAUGAUUACCAUGGGUUCACAGUGUCCACCGUGGAGGAGAGGACUCUGAACCCUCGGCUCACCUUCAGCUGUGAGGAGUUUGUCAAACUCAUGGACAACCUGAACUUGCCUAAACCUCAACAGAUAGACUUUGCUGUUCCUGCCAACAUGCGCUGUGGGGUGCAGACAUCCACUUCCUGAUCUGACCUCUGUCAGAUGCUCCUACCCAGAAUUAAUGCACUUGAUGGGAGAAGGGGGUGGCGAUGACACCGCACCUCUCCUUUCCCACCCCACUCUCCCAACCCCUGGAGCUUUCUAAAUAAAACUUUUUUU